UCUUUUUGCAGGAAACAUCCUUAAUGGAUCACCCUAUGUGUCUCUAUGGUUUUGCAGGAUAAAUUUUCCACAAUGGACUUGCAGGAUCAAAGGCCAUACACAUUUUAAACUUUAAUAGAAACUGCAGAUCUCUGUCCCAAAAGAUUGUGGCGGCUUACCCUCCCACCAGCAGUGUCAAAACUGCAUGACUGCCCCCCUCCUCGCUGGCCCUGGCUGUCAUCAAUAUUUAAUAUUUUUUUUCUAAUCUGAUGGGAGAAAAAGAACAUCUCCUUGUUCUUUUCAUUUGUAUUUCCACAACUGCCUGAGAGGCUGCGCGUCUUUUCGUCUGUUUAUUGGCCAUUUGCAUCUCUGCCACGAAUUGCCUGACAGUAUUGUUUGCCCACAUUUCUCUAUUUUUAUUGUGUGUUUUUUCUUAGAGAUUCUCAGGCACUCGUUGGACAUUAAUAUUAACUCUUCGUCUGUCUCAUAUGUGAUCCAUUUCUGGGCCAAGAAGAUCUCUGCCAACUGCCUGGACAGAAUCCCACGAGAUGCAACACCAGGAAUAAAUGCAAAUUCUUAUUCUAGGGUCUGCAAGCCCACGUUACCCUAGGGGGGAGGGGCACAGGGCUGGGGGACCACACAGGGCACGGAGGUCAGUGAGCCCAGCAGGAGGUGACAGUGGGUUACAGCUGCUGAAACAGCUAAAUUGGGACCCUACAUGCAUUCAUGGAGACGGAGGGUUUAAAAUGUUCUACCUCUGGGAAAGGCGUUCAGCUCUGAGCUGCUAGAGAUGCACAAGGAGGGGGCUGGAGUCUCUUCCCCAUGAGGAGCUGGCCCUGCUCAGCCUGGAAGAGCAGGGCUAUUCCAGGACAGGGGAGCAAAUGAGCCAUGAGCCCUGGAGGAGGAGCAAGGCCCUACAGAGAUGCCAGGGAGUUGGGUCCCACCUGAGAGUGAAGAGAAGUUCUUUCCUUAGCUCCUUAUUUUUAGAAUUAUUUCCCAACCACUUCCUCCUCCUUUCCCUGCUUUAUCUUCUUGUAGUGUUUGCAAUUUCUAACAUACUCUAAAUGUUACUAAUUAUGUGCCUGUCUGGGUCUCCACUCUAGAAUGGCAGCUCCAUGAGUACAGAUUUUGGUUUAUCACUAACCCCUUCUGAGGCAUUCUUAUUGUUUUCCCAGUCCAAGCUGUGCAGAAAAUGGUAGUGAGUUCCCCAUUGGGAGAGGUGAGCAAGCAGAAUCUGCCUGGCCACCUAGCAGGCUUUCUGUGCAGGGGAUCCCAAAGUUCAGCCAUGGUCCUCUCACCAAGGUGAGGUCUGGAAGGGCUUUUGGAUCCACAGGAGACCCCCCCUGGGCCUUCCAGAGCUUCUAGGGGCCUGUAAGUCAGCCAGCUGGGACACUAGAGCUCUCCAACUGGGUCAGCUUCUGUUUAUGUCCUCAUCCUGGCCCAUCCUGAGCCCCAGCCCCACCUCCGGCCAGGCCUGUCCAACCUCAGCUCUCCCCCCAGCAUGAGGCCCUCAUGUUUUGGAAAAUCAACCAGCCUCACAUCAGUCUGAAAAUAUCUCAAAAUAUCACUUGCGACUUCCUCCCGCUCCCUGAGUCCCCCUGCCGGGGCGGGCAGCAACCUUUCCCUUGCUGUUGAUUUUCAAGAAGGGCUCUUCCAUUGCUGGGACACAGGGAAUUUCCAGUAUUUUUCUUCCUCUGCCUUUUUUUUUUUUUUCUUGGCCUUCAGACGCCCACAUUGUGUUGUCCUGACGCAGCUCCAGGCAAUGUUUGGCCCCAAAGGCCUGGGCUGGGUCAGUGAGGCCUGGACCAGCAGCAGCCCUGGCUCCUUGGGCGCAGGAACAAUGCCUCCAUAAUUCAUUGAAAACUCCCCUCGGAUGACUUUUUCCUGUUGCUAAUUGUCUCUGCGUUCCAGGCCUGCACAAACUGCUUUUUCCUGCAGCUAAAUUUAAAAGGGCCAGACCCUGGAAACCGUGCACUGCGCUGGCCUCACUAUGAGGGCAAAGGUGGGGAGGCUGGGUGGAAGAAGAGCCUUGAAGCCACCACUUCCCACCAGCACACACACACACACACACACACACACACACACAUACACACGAGUGGUUUUAGCCCUGUCUUCAUUUUUAAUUUCCCCAACCACCCUUCCAGCCCCUUGGGCCCAGUCACAGACUCUGGAGUUCAGCAAAGCCUACUGGGUCUGUAGAGGUCAGAGGGGCCUUGGUGUUGCCCCAAAGCAGGAGGAAGAGGAAGGUCUGGGGAUCCACAGGGCAGGUCAAGAGCCCAUGGGUAUUGGAUUCAUAACAUAAGGUGAGGAAGAAGAUGUUUCUCUUGGGCAGAGCAGAGCAGGGAAAGCACAAGUGGCCAGAAAGGAGUGAGUCCCUCAUUUCUGUGCAAGCAGAGAUGGCAUGCCCAGGGAAGCUGUCAAGGCCUGACCUGUCAGAUGGAAGAGACAGAGAACAUGAGCGGGGAGAGGAGCAGAGGGAGAAGCAGACUACCCGCCCCGCAGGGAGCCUUAUGCUGGGCUCCAUCCCAGGACCUCAGGAUCAUGAAGGCAGAUGCUCAAUCAACACAGCCACCCAGGAGCCCUUCAAACAUAGUUCUUAAGGGAGUGCUCCCAAAUGCUGAAUGAAGAGACUGGAAGGACAAAGUCAGAUGACUGGCACUACCUGCUUCAAGACUUGCUAGAAAGUCCCCAUAACCAAGACGUUGAAGUAGGAGUCAAAGAAUAGGCAGAAAGACCCUUGGAAGAGAAGACAGAGCCCAGAAAUAGAUGCCUUCAAAUAUCUAGUGAUUGUUGACAAAAGAGCAAAAGGAAUACAGUGGAGAAAAGAUAAUCUUUCCUGCAACCAGUUCUGGGAUGACUGGACAUUCACAUGCAAAAAAAUGAAUCUAGACCCAGACCUUCCAAGCUACAUCAGAAGUAACUCAAAAUGGAUCACUGACCUGAAUGUAAACUACAAAACCAUAAAAUUCCUUGAAGGUAACAGAGGAGGAAAUACAGAUGCCCUUCAGUCUGGUGAUGUCUUUUUUAGACACAACACCAAUGAAAUAAAUGAAACACUGGUUAUCUAGACUUCCUUAAAAUUAAAAACUUCUGGAACGCCAGCAUGGCUCAGUCGGUUAAGCAGUUAAGUGAAUGCCUUUGGCUCAGGUCAUGAUCCUGUGGUCCUGGGAUCAGGGUCCUGGGAAGGAGACCCGUGUUGGACUCCCUGCUCAGUGGGGAGCCUGCUCUCUCCCUCUGCCUGCUGCUCCCCCUGCUUGUGUGCUCUCUCUCUUCACCCCUCCGCUCUUUCUCUCUGACAAGUAAAUAAAUAAAAUAUUUUAAAAAUUAAAUUAAAUUAGAUUAAACUAAAAACUUCUGCUCUGUGAGAGACAAUAUCAAGAGAAUGAGAAGACAAGCCACAGAUUGGGAAACAUUAUUUGCAAAAGACACAUCUGAUAAAAGACUAUAAUCCAAUAAAAGAUAAAUAACUUAAAAUUCAGCAACAAAACGAGCAAGCCACUUAAAAACAGGCAAAAGACCUGAACAGAUACCUGACCAAAGAAGAUAACAGAUGGCAAAUAUGCUAUGAAAAGAUGCUCAAAAUCGUAUGCCAUCAUGAAGGUGUCAAUUAGACAACAGUGAGAUAACACUAUGUAUAUAUUAGAAUGGCCAAAAUCCAAAACACUGACAACACCAAAUGCUGACAAGGAUGUGGAGAAACAUGAACUUUCAUUUGGUGCUGGUGGAAAUGCAAAAUGGUACAGUCACUUUGUAAGACAGCUUGGUGGUUUCUUACAAUAAUAAAACUACUUUUCCCGUGUGAUCCAGCAAUUGAGCUCCUUGGUGUUUACACAAAGGAGUUGAAAACUCAUGUUCAUACUAAAACCCCCACACAGAUAUUUAGAGCAGCUUUAUUCAUAACUGCCAAAACUUGGAAGCAGCCAAGAUGAUCGUCAGUAGGUGAUCGGAUAAAUAGACCAUGGUACGUCCAGAUAAUGAAAUAUUAUUCAGUGCUUAAAAAAAAAAAAAAAAAAAAAAAAAAAAGAGCUACCAGACCAUGAAAAGACAUGGAGGAACAUUAAAUACAUAUUGUUAAGUGAAAGAAGCCAAAGGGGAGGGAAGGAUGAGUAGAAAGAGGGCAGAGGAUUUUCAGGGCAAUGAGAUUACUCCGUGUAAUACUACUACGGUAGAUACACAGUUUUAUGCAUUUGUGGAAACCCACAGAACGUACUUCACCAAGAGUGAACCCUAAUGUCAACUGUGGAUUCAGUUGAUAACGAUGUGUCAGUGGAGAUUCAUCAAUGAGAACAAGUAUCUCACUCUGGCGGGAGAUGUUGAUAGCGAGGAGGAGAGCUGUACUUGACCAGGAGUGUGGGGAGGGGGGCAGGUAGUACCUGGGAACUCUCUACACUUGGCGCUCAGUUUUGCUGUAGACAUAAAACUGCUCUAAAAAAUAAAGUCUAUUCUUAAAAAAUUGCAGGCAAUGAGAGUCCCUUCCUCCAGGGGCUAAUAUCAGGCCUGAACAAGAGCAUACAAGGACAGCUCUUAGGGUAGAGUGUAAAAGAAGAGUUCAUUAAUUUGGAAACCAAAGGAAACACAGAGUCAGAGUCAUCCUCAAAAGAUGCACAUUUGCGGACUCUGGAGGCGUGAGGAGGAGAGAAUCUUUAGAGACUCUUCCCUU